CUAGAACAAGCAUAUGUCGGAAAAAGGUAAAAAGAUAAAAUCUGAAACAAAAUAAUCCCCCUUAACACAAAGGAACACGAUCAAGCACCAACGCAAAAAGCCAAAAAAUGGGCCAGAAGAAUAAAACUCACGGAAAGGCCAAAGUCACCACAAAGCAUGAACGCACAUGUUUAAAGUACCAAAAGCAAAACCACUAGAGGUAAGAAACAUCUAACAAACUAAACAAGCACAUACAAGGCACCCAGCG
rnacentral:lncRNA from 1 species